CCUACGGGGCGCAGCAGUGGGGGAUAUUGCACAAUGGGGGGAACCCUGAUGCAGCGACGCCGCGUGGGUGAAGGAGCGUUUCGGCGCGUAAAGCCCUAUCGGCAGGGAAGAAGAUGACGGUACCUGACUAAGAAGCCCCGGCUAACUACGUGCCAGCAGCCGCGGUAAUACGUAGGGGGCAAGCGUUAUCCGGAUUUACUGGGUGUAAAGGGGGCGCAGACGGCAGUGCAAGUCAGAGGUGAAAGCUUGGGGCCCAACCCCAGGACUGCACUUGAAACUGCAAAGCUGGAGUACAGGAGGGGCAGGCGGAAUUCCUAGGGUAGCGGUGAAAUGCGUAGAUAUUAGGAGGAACACCAGUGGCGAAGGCGGCCUGCUGGACUGUAACUGACGUUGAGGCCCGAAGGCGUGGGGAGCAAACAGGAUUAGAUACCCGAGUAGUC
rnacentral:rRNA from 1 species